CUGGACAGUACGUUGGUGUCCUCCACUGUUUGGCAGUGUAGCGUCUCCCAACGUUAAAGACUUUUUGAAGUAAAGAGGAGCAUCUCAUCUGAACCUGAUGUCUAUCAUGGAUAUUUAACUGCAGUUCUGUGAGUAUCCCAACUUAACCAUGAAGAUGAACUGCAAACUGUAAGUCAUUAAUUUCUCAUUACUCUUGGGCACAUUGAUGUAUUUUGGCUGCCUGGUGAGUUAACCUGUUACCUGAAGGUUGAUCUGAGUAGUAAGGAUCUUUUAUUGGUUCAUGGGUUUCUUAGGUGUUUGGUUUAUGUUGGUUUUAAUGAUUUGUUAAAAUGGUUAGGCUCUAAGAUGUUGUUGUAAACUAGAGUAAUGGGUUGGGUUCUGAUAUCUUCAGUCUUCUUUCAUUCUACUCUCCUGAGCUCUGCAUCUUCAUCACAUGUGUUGCGUUACUGAUGAGGGUGUGGUCUGAGUGAGCGGAGGUGCAUACUGGGAUACAGAGCUGUCUGAAGUCUACAGGUCCGUAGACACGCCCCCCUCAGGGGAAACCAAGUGUUUGAGAAACUGUCGUGACGUCAGUUACAUGGACUGGAAUGUUCUUUAAAAUGGACUCGGGGAUUCCGAAGGAGAAACACCAGGGGGAGAUGAGGGGGCUCCUCAUCUCAACGACUAAAACACAACUUCAGUCUGACACAGAGAACCAUGGAACACAUUCAACAGUCCCCUCCAGGCAUCGUGACUCCUCAGGAACGGUUUCAUUUCCAUGAAGGUCUUAUUUUGGGCCAUCCCCAGAUGGAUCCUGCUCCUCAAGAGCCACCCCCCCUCCACUGUGUGGUCUUCUGAACAGAUGACCUCCUUUCUGUCCUCAGGCUGACUAAAGCUGCACCGUUUGCAUCUGUGAAGGCCCCUCAUUCAGGAAACCACUGGACUACAAAGACGUGACUUCAGAGACGUUGAAUCAACCUGGGACAUAUUUUGGAGACGCCAAGCAUAAUCCAUCACCAACGUGUGACGCAACUGAAGAAUGUUGUACAUAAGUAAUCGUCUCUGGAGACAUUGGUUGUUCUGUUCUGGGUGCCCUGGCAGGAGAGCUAGGGGGGGUGAUGAAAUGUUAUUUGGCAUGAGGUUUUUACCCUGCAUGAUUGUUUGGCCUUUUAUGGCUCAGUGGUGUAUGGAUAAUUUUUGAGCAUCGCUAGGGUUCUACUGUGUAUGUGUCUCCCACUCACACCUGGCUUGGGGUUCUACGUGCCUGUCCUGGGUUCUAUGUGUGUGUCUGGCUUGCUUUGACAGUGAUAAUGUUCAUACGGGGGUCUUUGUGAUUGGCUUGGGAUUUGGAAUGGUCAAAUAAAUCAUACCUGAUGGCCGGCCACACGUUUACUUAAGGGCCUCCAGUAGACCUGAAGAGCCCUGAGCGACGCCCAGGAGCGAUAUUCAACACACUGGGCAGGAAGGAGAGUAUCCAAAUCAAGUGUAAAAGGAUGCAAGCGGCGUGUUCAGAUCAGUGACUUGAAACUAGGACUGCACCAAUCAGGAUCAAUGGAGGAUGGACACCUAAAGGCAUUCCACAAGGAGAGUCUGACGUUGGAAAGGGACCUAAAUGGAUAUUCAAGAUAACCUUCAGACCUGUAAUGAGACGGCUCUUCCUACCUUGCUGGAUUGAUGGAGAGCCUUGUGGAUUUUGUCUUGUUCUCAGUUGCACGUCUUCUCAGGCUGAACUGUAUUUGUUUCGGACAGGACAAGCUGAACGAUUGGUUCCCUUAAAUCAGAACCAGUCCGGGAACUCCAGCUCGUGCGCUCUUCGAGCUGAAGUUGUGCUCUUCAGCUGAGGUCAGGAAACCUUCACUGGGGCUUCAAGCUGUAAAAAGGAGAAUGUUUCGAAGUGUUCCAUGGUACUCUGAUGAGGACCGUUGUUGUGUUCCACUGGCUGAGAGGAAGAACCCUCACAUCUUACUCUUGGCCUUUCUCCUCUGAGAAUCCUGGCGCCAUCUUGAAGGAUAUUCCAGCUCAUGUAAUUGAUGUCACGACAGAUUCUCACACAUUUGGUUUCUCCUGAGGGGCGUGUCUAUAGAACUGAAGACUUCAGACGGCACUGUAUCCCAGCAUGCAUCUCUGCUCACUCAGACCCCCCCCCCCAUGAGUAGGAUGCUACAUUCUAGUGAUGGAGAUGUAGAGUUUUAUAAGUAACAAGGGAGCAGACAAAGGUGAUUAGAACACAAUGGCAUGUCAAGUCUGUAAAUCUUUAAACCAUGAAGAUGGUUGGAUAGUUCAGGAAUUGGGCUUCUAUUUAUUAUGAGCAGUCCUUUCGCUCAGAUGCCCACUUCUCACUGGACCUGUACAUGUGUUGGCUGGCUUGCAUGAUUUGCUGUUGGUGAUGAGGCGGUCAAGGUGACAUUGCAGGGCUAUGGUCGGCUCUCUGUGAGUUCAACGGUUGGAUUUGCUCUGUAUGGUUUGUACCCUGAAUAAUCUAGAUAAUUGUAAAAUGGAGACACUGUUUUGUAGUGAAUGAUUCCAUUGUUCUGAGGCAAGGAUCUGAGGUUUAAAGUUGUUGUGGGACGUACAUGGUAGUUUGGUUCUUCGUACGGUUUUGAGUGAUAUAACAUGUACACACUGGGUGCAUAAUAAUGUAAAGGUACACUGAAUGGUAGUAAUGACCAACAGCAACAAACAGAUCUCGUCAAGGUAAGUCUGUUGGCUGUGUUUUAAUGAAGACCAUCGCUGGACCUCAGGAUCUUCCUCCGUUCAGCUCAAGGUGAGGAGCUGGUUCUGUUUUUUCUUUGGUUGGUUCCGGCCGGAAUGUUCGGAUUCCAGUCGGACGGUUUGUGCUUCCCGCCGUGGAAGUUUCUGAGUGCCGUCACUUGAUUUAGUCCCAAUGGUUAGCAUAGAACGUUGUAGUCUUGACAACCAUUAGAAACCACCUGGCAGUUAGUUGGUCAGGAGUCCCCUGAGGGAAUCUGGCUGAACGUUCUGGAUUGUAUUUGAGUAACCUCGAGCCAUUGCCAACGGAAACUAUUUUUCAGUCGGUUUCCAUUGGGAAUUGUUGCCCCUUAUCUUAAACAACUUAAAUUUGAUAUUAAAUACAUACUGACAAGUAAGUCGUACAAUACAGUGUUGAUAAUUUUCGAUGGUUGCGCCGUACUUUUAACCACGGUGACGGGACUCUCGCUGCGUACAAAACGGCUUUCUACUUGCGGCCCCAUUUUUGACAUCGGUGAAGGCUGAAAAUCAUUACAAGGUGGAAGACAAUUUGACAUUUCUUCAAAGGAACCCAGCACCUGAAUAUGGCUGAGUAAAUUUGAUUUAAUAUCGAUAUUGCUUACUGUUCUUUGUUACUUCAGCUUUUGUACGUUCUAAAUAUCUGCUGUCAUUAAUUGCCACAGAAGUUAAACCCUACCCAAUGGAAUGACGUUAAACAAAGACUUUGGUGCAGAUUUACCAACUGGAUAAUAUCAAAGCUAAAAUAUUGGCCGUCAUUCCCACAUGUUACAGUAGAAGAGACUCUAGAACUGUACAAGGUUAAAAAGGUAACAUGUCGUUUGUACCAUGGUGUCUGCCUCCACCUCCUCACCCAGAGCAAGACCUCCACCUCCUCACCCAGAGCAAGACCUCCACCUCCUCACCCAGAGCAAGACCUCCACCUCCUCACCCAGAGCCAGACCUUCACCUCCUGUCAGAAGGCCUCCAGAACAGCUGAAAUGAGAGGCUGGGGUCCGGAGGCUUGUGGUGCCAGGGUGGACCGGAGACUGAGGCUGGAGACCAGCGGCCUGCAGCACCGGACCAGAGGACCAGCUGAUGGAGGAGUCGUGCUGAAGGCCCUGCCUGGUGGAGGAGCUGGUGGAGGCCCUGCCUGGUGAAGGACGUCUGUCGUGGGACCAGGACUCUGUCUGAGGAGAGCUGCUGGAGGAGCUGCUACGAUGCUGGAGGACGACUAGGAAUCGACCAACAAGGAUUCCUCACUUUAGGGCCAGACUCGGGCUGUUUGUUCCAGACCAGGACUCUGGCUGAGGAGAGCUGAUGGAGGAGCCAAGACUCUGGAGGACGACAUCACUCCACCAACCAGGAUCCUCACCAGGAAUCUGGAGGACUGAUGGAGAAGCCGUACAUCUGGAAGGCAAAUCCUGAGGACAACCAGGACUGUCUGACCUCCAGUGGGAGUGAUCUUCUUGACCCAACAUGUAACCGUGUGCUUCCACACGCCUUUCCCUCACGUCUGUCACUAACCUCACUACUUCACUACUCUCUACUGCUUCCUCUUUUCUUCCUUCUGGUUCAAACCUUCACACUGAAGGCGCGCCUUCCUGCCCUCAGAGGGUUCAGCGUUAGGGUUGAGAGUCAGGGUUUAGAGUCAGGGACAGAGCUGGUCAGGGAGGACUGCUUUUACACAAACCUCUUGACUUGCUUUCGGAAUGGUGGUGACAUUUUGAAAAGAUUCAUUUGGGAAAAUGUUUUCCUCUGCUUUCCUUUACAAAAUUGUAUUAAACUUCUGUCAAGUAUUUUUGUUUAUAUAUUCAAAUCCCACAUUGACUUCUACAUGUUUGGUGCGGUUCAUUUAAUUGUCUUUUAACUUGGUUAAUGUCAAGCUAAACUCCUGCAAUACAUUUAAUAUACAUGAUUGUUAUUCAGCAAUGUUCACAUAAUCCAUUUUGUAAAAAUAUGAAACCUCCAUAUUACUACUAAAUUCAAGCCUAUUCAUGUAUUUAACAAUGUGCACACUACCCCGCAGGCCGUUCUCUGCUACUACAACACGUUCAAUCCACCAACCCGUCUCACAUUAAUGUACUACGUUGGUUCAAACGGAAAAUGUAGUUUGGUGUGAGACUGUUGUCCAGCAGAGGGAGCUGUUAUACACCUUAAUUAUACAGGAAUGUCUGUGUAUUUACAUUUUACAAUGUUCAUGGGCUGGUCUAGUUUGUCUGCAAAUGACUCUGCCUCCAGCCACAGGAUUGGUCGAAACAUAUGAAGUGAAAGAAAUAAAAGCCCAGUUCACCAUAUCUGAGGUCAGCUGCGGUCAGAUUUUGGAUCAUGAAUGUAUUGAGUGAACGACGUCUGAGCUAAAUAACCACCUGGUACUUGGUGUGUUUCCUGGAGCUCGGAAGACGGCAGGACGCGUGUUUACCUGGUCGAUUAGGCCCUGAACGCAGACCCUGAACCCAGACAUCCUAAUCACAGACCCUGUGUUUAAUUAGCCCAAAAUAUAAUUUUUGGGUUAAAAUGAAAGUAAAAAAAUGUAUAAGUACUAGCCUAGUCUAGAUAGUCCUUCUGGCAAGAGAGUAAACAGUUUAAAAACAUAACAUUUUUACCACCUCAAGUGAAUCAACCUAUCCUAUCCCCAGUCAGGUGUGUGUGUGUGUGUGUGUGUGUGUGUGUGUGUGUGUGUGUGUGUGUGUG
ensembl:lncRNA